rnacentral:rRNA from 1 species
AAUAGAUACCCUGGUAGUCCACGCCGUAAACGAUGGAUACUAGCUGUUGGGCGCAAGUUCAGUGGCUAAGCGAAAGUGAUAAGUAUCCCACCUGGGGAGUACGUUCGCAAGAAUGAAACUCAAAGGAAUUGACGGGGGCCCGCACAAACGGUGGAGCAUGUGGUUUAAUUCGAUGAUACGCGAGGAACCUUACCAAGGCUUAAAUGUAGAUUGACCGGUUUGGAAACAGAUCUUUCGCAAGACAAUUUACAAGGUGCUGCAUGGUUGUCGUCAGCUCGUGCCGUGAGGUGUCAGGUUAAGUCCUAUAACGAGCGCAACCCCUGUUGUUAGUUGCCAGCGAGUCAAGUCGGGAACUCUAACAAGACUGCCAGUGCAAACUGUGAGGAAGGUGGGGAUGACGUCAAAUCAUCACGGCCCUUACGGCCUUGGGGCUACACACGUGCUACAAUGGCCGGUACAGAGAGCAGGCCACUGGGUGACCAGGAGCGAAUCUAUAAAAACCGGUCACAGUUCGGAUCGGAGUCUGCAACUCGACUCCG